rnacentral:rRNA from 8 species
CGGGACCUCAGGUCAGGCGGGGCUACCCGC